rnacentral:lncRNA from 1 species
AUGGAUCCCAACAAAAUUAGUAAAUUAGGCUUCGUUUUGGGAUUGCGGGAAAAUUGCGUUAUAUGCGCUGAGAAAAUACGAUGAAAAAAAUAUCCUAUUUGUUGUUACGAUAUAUUUUUUUUACGAUUCCACCGGAGAACACAAAAGUAUAUUUUUAUAUACUUUUAUUCCAACUUCAUUUUAUCUAAUAGCGUCAUUUUCAUUUUAUCUAAUAGCGUCAUAUGAGCCUCAAUAUGAAACUAAGCCUUAUAGUAACUAUUACGUAAUUACAGUAAAUAUAUCUUAGUGGGGUAAUUAACAAAAUAAUUUUUCAAUCAUAGUUCCUCAACAGCUAGCGCAUUUUACCAGAAAUCCCAGCCUUAAUUUUUACUUCAAUCAAAUUAUUAAUCUGCCAAAGUAUUUUACUUCUCUUAUAAAGGAUUGAAAUCACAAUGGAUUCAAUUGACUAAAAUAAAAAAAAUUCUCAUGUAAAUAUUCGAUUUUUUUCUGACUUUAAUUUAAAAACCUAUAUUGCUUUUUAAAAAUUUUAGAAAUAUUUUCAAAAGGUUACGGCAUUAAUAGAGAGCACGAAAUGACCAAACUAUUUUUUCUUGUUAUAUAAAAAAAUAAUUUUUAAUAUAUUUUGGUGUUGUUAAAAAUAUUUUCAGUAUAAAUUAUAAGAAAUAGAUGAAAUAGUGACAAAAUCCUGAUAAAGCAUCAACUUAAAUUUUGAGGGUGUGAAAUAUAGAUUUUAAAAAUUAGGAAGAAAAAGUAAAAAAAAACUAGUAUUUAUAGAAAAAUGUUAUAUACUUUAGUUUUAUAAAUUUGAUGGUCAUGUAAUUAUUAU